ACACAGAUGAAGAUGACAUCUAUGGAAUCUUUUCGUUGCAAUUGAUGCAUUCUUUAGUCCAGUAAUAUCAUCUCACUUUGUAUCCAAGAGAUCCUCUCUGUUCAUGUAGAAUUCAGCCAAACACUACAAUGGAUGUGGAAUAAAUGAGCAACAAAUAUUGAAUUAAUAAAUAAACAUCACACUUUCUGAUGAGGCUGGAGGCUCUCACUUGAUAGCAGAGGAUAAAGAGAAGAAGAAAAGCAGGAACUACUUUCGGCUGGUAAGCAGAUCUUACAGUACAGUAGUUAAGCAUAUAAUGUUUGGAGCCUGACAGAUAUAGGCACAAAUCUCAAGUCCACAACUAUGUGAACGUUGACUUGUGAGAAGAUCCAAAUUUGCUUUGCCUUUGCCGUCCACCAUGACUGUAAGUUGCCUGAGUCCUCCCUGGCAAUAUGGACCUAAUCUCGCUCUGCCACCCAGGCUGGAGUGCAGUGAUAUGAUCCUGGUUCAUUGCAACCUCUACCUUCCAGAUUCAAGCAAUUCUCCUGCCUCAGUCUCCCAAGUAGCUG
rnacentral:lncRNA from 1 species